rnacentral:lncRNA from 1 species
AAUGCAAAGAUUCGUAGAUUUCUCUAAGCGUCUUAAAAGUUUAGCCUACAAGCAACUUGGAAGCCAUCAGAGACUUAAGCAAUGAAAUGUUGUGGCAGCUUUUUGUUUUGUUCUAUUUUUCCCUNNNNNNNNNNNNNNNNNNNNNNNNNNNNNNNNNNNNNNNNNNNNNNNNUUUUCCGCCAUCAGGUAUUUAAGAUCAUUUGGGAGAGCAGGUGCUUGAAGAUUAGCUCCGACAGAAGAGGGAGAUGUGGAUUGGUUGGAGUAGAGUAAAGGGUUUCCUGCAUCACAGCGGAUUUGCUGAGAUCCCACUCUUUUUGAAGAAAACUACUCUGGACCAAUGGAAAUGGUUAAACCAUAGGAUUAUAUUACUUUUCGUUUGUGGGCACAUCCAGGUGGAAAUAAGAACUUGCAUUCUUAUCAGCAGAAGGAAAAUUUUUAGCAUAUAGGAAGAACUAUUGUCAGCAUCUGUGGAAAAAGCCUUAGCUUUACUCCCCCAUGGAAGAAAGCCAACGAAAGCCGCCCCAUGAAUUUAACUUGAUAGAUGUUGAUUCUCUGCCUGAAGAAGAGAACCAAGCUGGGAAAGCUGGACUGGAAAGUAGGAAGAGUUUGCUUCCAUAAGACCAAUGGUCUGUCUGUGACAGACAGUGGCUCAGUUUUGACAAGCAUGUAGAGAGUACACACAUUGGCCGAAUCCUGCAUUGGAGGUCAGAGAUAUAAAGAUUUUAUGACUUGGAAUAACUGAAUCUCACUAUCUCGUCCCAACAUGACCCCAAAGAGAAUGACUUGACAGGGGUUAAAUGUAUGUUUGGGCUCUAAAGCUGUACAGAUCUAGAUUCAGAACAAGGUUUGCCACAGAAUCACUGUGUGACUUUGGACAGGGGAAAAGUAAAUCUAAGUAGAUGUUCUCAUAUUUCCCCACUUCACCCUAGUACACUACCUCAGUGUGCUGUGCUGGGGGAGAAUCUGCCUGGACUGCGUACUGGAGGAGUUUAAGGUCUUGGAGCCUACGUCAGGUGGAACAUGCCCAACUUACUGGUCACCAUUAUAAUCUCACCAGGAUACCAUAUGGUAUUACCUAUCCAAAAAAAAAGAAAAGAAUUAAAGAAUAAAGGCAAUGCAAAACGUUGGAGAGCCAAUCUGAAAUCAAUUGACAGGCAUGAACAUUUGUUAAUAACAUGAGUAUAAGCAGAUGGAGAAGGAAUUGUACUGAACAUUCUCCAAAUAUAGAAACAAUCUACUGGAGAAAGUCAGACAAACAUGGUGUGUCCAAAAAUCUGUUUCCGUCUUAAAGCUUGAGUCUUUAUGGAGUAAGAAUUUUCAAAUGACCCCUUGCUUAUUUUGCAAAACUAAGGUAAAGGCGUUAAUGUUACAGUGUAUGAAUUAAACUUCAAUUUUAAAAUAG